CAAAAACAUGUCCUUUUGUUUAUUUAUUUAAGGUCUGGCCUGCCCAAUGAGGAAUUCAAUGGCCGCAGUAUUUUAACUGUGCUAAGGUAGCAUAAUCACUUGUCUUUUAAUUGAGGGCUGGAAUGAAAGGUUGGACGAGAUAUUAACUUUCUUUAAUUUAGUUUUAAGAAUUUAAUUUUUGAGUUAAAAAGCUCAAAUUUAUUUGUUGGACGAGAAGACCCUAUAGAUCUUUAUAAUUUUAUAUUUUAGUAAUUUGGUGGUUAUAUUUACUGUAAGUAAAAGAAUUAUUUUGUUGGGGUGACUGUAGAAUUUUAUUAACUUCUAUUAUAUUAGUUUCAUUGAUUGAUGUUUUUUUGAUCCAUAUUUUUAUGAUUAAAAGAUUAAGUUACCUUAGGGAUAACAGCGUAAUUUUUUCGGAGAGUCCAUAUUGAUGAAGGAGUUUGCGACCUCGAUGUUGGAUUAAAAUAAGUUAUGGAUGCAGGAGUUCAUAUACUAGGUCUGUUCGACCUUUAAAUUUUUACAUGAUCUGAGUUCAAACCGGAG
rnacentral:rRNA from 1 species